rnacentral:rRNA from 1 species
CGACACCGGAGAGGGAGCCUGAGAAACGGCUACCACAUCCAAGGAUGGCAGCAGGCGCGCAAAUUACCCAAUCCCAACACGGGGAGGUAGUGACAAUAAAUAACAAUACGGAAUUCUUUUGGAUUUCGUAAUUGGAAUGAGUACAAUUUAAAUCUCUUAACGAGGAACAAUUGGAGGGCAAGUCUGGUGCCAGCAGCCGCGGUAAUUCCAGCUCCAAUAGCGUAUAUUAAAGUUGUUGCAGUUAAAAAGCUCGUAGUUGAAUUUCGGGAUCAAUUUGCUGGUCGGAACCUCUGGUACGUACUGGUAUUAUUGAUUUCUUUCAUUCUGAUAGAUCAUGGAUGUCAUUAAUUUGAUGACUUUGAGGAAUCGGAACUUUUACUUUGAAAAAAUUAGAGUGUUUAAAGCAGGCUUAUCAGGCUUGAAUACAUUAGCAUGGAAUAAUGAAAUAGGACGAUUGAUCCCAUUUUUGUUGGUUUCUAGGAUUGACGUAAUGAUUAAUAGGGAUAGUUGGGGGCAUUAGUAUUCAAUUGUCAGAGGUGAAAUUCUUGGAUUUAUUGAAGACUAACUACUGCGAAAGCAUUUGCCAAGGAUGUUUUCAUUAAUCAAGAACGAAAGUUAGGGGAUCGAAGACGAUCAGAUACCGUCGUAGUCUUAACCAUAACUAUGCCGACUAGGAUCGGAUGAUGUUAAUUUUUUUUAAUGACUCAUUCGGCGCUUACGGAACA